AUUCUGUCUUUGCUGCAAUCAAAUUUGUAUCCUGAUCCAAGAUGUUUUGCUUCAUUCAGAUAGCCAAGAAUAAUUGGAAAAAAAACAGAUAAAUUAUAAAAAAUAAAAUCCAUCGUAAGACAUAAAAAGACCAAAUUCAAACAUUACUUGAGAAGCGAAGAUGCCAGAGAGAAGGGAACUCCUCAGAAGAGUCUUCCAACUUAACGUCUUAGGAAAAGGAAGGACUUGGAGGAGACAGUUUUAGAAUGCUACCAUAAAGAUGAAGAAAAAUGAUAAGCAGAGAACUCAGGAAAAAGGAUUCCAACUGGACAAUAUGGGAAACAUUAUAGAUGUGUGUUGAAAGUUCGAGAUUCAUUCUUUUACUCUCAAUGAGCAAUUUACAACUACGUCAGCAUCUGCCAUGUGUAAACAGUAUGAUCAGCAUAGAGGGAGAAGCCAGUGAGAAGAAAGAACAUUUUUUCCACAGAUAAUUCUGAAAAGGUAAGUGUUCUUUUUUCUAUGUGAAAAGAAAUUGAAAGAGUGUAAGAGAUAAAUGCUUGGCUCCUAAAUGUUAUUUAUUCAUUCAAAUAAUAGCUGGUAUAUAUUAAGGCAGUGGAAAUAAGCAAUGCACAUACGAGACAAAAGUUCUUAUGUUCACUUUGUUUUCAUUCCAGUGUAUGUUUAUGUGUGUGUGUGGGGGGGUAAUAAGUACAUUUAACAAGUAAACCAUAUAGCAUGAUAGAUGGUAUUUAGUUGUGUAGGAAAAAGGAAUUAAGAAGGCUAAAUGGGGGCACCUGGGUGGCUCUGUUGGUUAAGUGUCUGACUUUGGCUCAGGUCAUGAUCUUGCGGUUUGUGAUGUUGAGGCCCACGGUGGGCUCUGUGCUGACAGCUCAGAGCCUGGAGCUUGGUUCUGAUUCUGUGUCUCUCUUUCUAUCUGCCCCUCCCCACUCAUACUCUUUCUCUCUCUCUCAAAAAUAAACAUUUUAGAGAUUAAAAAAAAUAAAAGAUA
rnacentral:lncRNA from 1 species